AAUUCAAAACACAAAGAGUGCAGAGAAGGCAACCAGCUGCCUACAGCUCAGUGUUACGUGUGUCCAACAUCACUGUGCUGCAGCACAGCUGUGUGUGGGGAAUAUUCCUUACAAGGCAGCAGUUUUCCAGCACUGCUUUUUAAACCUCAUGACAGCAACACAAUGCUGCUUCUACUGCACAUCUGCUUCUACAGACCACAGCCCUUCUCUGCAGUGCCCUCAGACAACGCUGGCUUGGCUAGCUGAAAGAAAACCCUGUCCUGCUGCCCUUCUAUAGUGGGUACACCUGGCAGAACCAGAGUGCUGUAAGAUAAGUCAGAAAGUGGGCAAAUGUGUGGAGAAUGUGUGAAAUUUGUCUGAAGGUCAAGAAGAGAAGAGAAGCUAAGGAGAAAGAGAUGGAGAGAGUUCAUGGCUCAAGGGAGGAGGAACCAGCGAUGCUACACGGGCGUGGGAAAGGCAAGCAAACUUUGAGGAUGUAGCAGCAUUUCCAGUUGCAGUGAGUGAAGUAAUGUCAUCCAAGAGGAUGAGACUUCCCCAAAACAGUGUCUGCAGUGCUGCUUCCCCACAUGCAGGGAGGAUAUCCAGCCUGGAGCAGGUGCAGAGGAAGGCAGUGGGGUGGUCAGAGGGAUGGAAGGUGUCUCAGCCAACACUGUGUUUACUUAUCAGUCACAGCAGGGACUGCACAGAGAUAUUUGAGCUGAUUUGGAAAUAGAUGUGCUACCAGUCUGAGCUCUUCAGCAUUAAUUAUUUUGCACUGAAUUUCAUGCUAGUGCAGCUACACAAAGUAAUUAAACCACGGUGUGAUGUGCCUGCAGGGUGAAUACUGUAAGGGAGCUUAGUUACUUAGUCUGGCAGAACAAAGGUUAAGAGAGGAGAGAUUUGCUGCCUAUAAAUACUUUUAGGGACUGGGGGUUGGGAAAGUAAGUGCUCAGGAGAGAGCAGAGCUACAUGAGCUAAAGGACAAUGUGGCACAAGAAUAAAUAGAUAUAAAUUGGCCAUGAAUGAAUUUAGGUUGGAAAUCAGAAGGUUUCUAAGCAACAGAGCGGGCAAGGAGGUGCUGGAACAGCAUUUUAGCAGCACAAGUUAGGGUGGGAACCUAAUGAGAUUUAGGACAGAGUUUAGUAAGUUUAGAAAAGGCCAUUUGGUUUGUACUUGCUCGUUAUUCAAAGGGAUUGAACCUGAUAAGCCAAGAGGUCCCUUUUUCAUUCUAUUUCCUGUACUUCCUUAGUGCCUUAGCAGAUCCGCACCCUUGCAUACAAAAGCCAGGUAAAUCUGGAGCAGAGUUUGUGUGAUGAGUUUUUCAGCACUGAUCCCAUGGAUAUUUAAUGGAGGGAUUCACUCUGUGCCUGAGAUUU